GUGGGGAAUAUUGGACAAUGGGCGAAAGCCUGAUCCAGCCAUGCCGCGUGUGUGAAGAAGGUCUUCGGAUUGUAAAGCACUUUAAGUUGGGAGGAAGGGUAGUAACCUAAUACGUUGCUACUUUGACGUUACCGACAGAAUAAGCACCGGCUAACUUCGUGCCAGCAGCCGCGGUAAUACGAAGGGUGCAAGCGUUAAUCGGAAUUACUGGGCGUAAAGCGCGCGUAGGUGGUUUUGUAAGUUGGAGGUGAAAUCCCCGGGCUCAACCUGGGAACUGCCUCCAAAACUGCAUGACUAGAGUACGGUAGAGGGUAGUGGAAUUUCCUGUGUAGCGGUGAAAUGCGUAGAUAUAGUAAGGAACACCAGUGGCGAAGGCGACUACCUGGACUGAUACUGACACUGAGGUGCGAAAGCGUGGGGAGCAAACAGGAUUAGAAACCCUUGUAGUCC
rnacentral:rRNA from 1 species